rnacentral:rRNA from 1 species
AUUGAACGCUGGCGGCAGGCCUAACACAUGCAAGUCGAACGGUAACAGGAAGCAGCUUGCUGCUUCGCUGACGAGUGGCGGACGGGUGAGUAAUGUCUGGGAAACUGCCUGAUGGAGGGGGAUAACUACUGGAAACGGUAGCUAAUACCGCAUAACGUCGCAAGACCAAAGAGGGGGACCUUAGGGCCUCUUGCCAUCGGAUGUGCCCAGAUGGGAUUAGCUAGUAGGUGGGGUAACGGCUCACCUAGGCGACGAUCCCUAGCUGGUCUGAGAGGAUGACCAGCCACACUGGAACUGAGACACGGUCCAGACUCCUACGGGAGGCAGCAGUGGGGAAUAUUGCACAAUGGGCGCAAGCCUGAUGCAGCCAUGCCGCGUGUAUGAAGAAGGCCUUCGGGUUGUAAAGUACUUUCAGCGGGGAGGAAGGGAGUAAAGUUAAUACCUUUGCUCAUGGACGUUACCCGCAGAAGAAGCACCGGCGAACUCCGU